AUUGAACGCUGGCGGCAGGCCUAACACAUGCAAGUCGAACGCGUGGCGGACGGGGGCGUAAUGUCUGGGAAACUGCCUGAUGGAGGGGGAUAACGACUGGAAACGGUAGCUAAUACCGCAUACCAUCGGAUGUGCCCAGAUGGGAUUAGCUAGUAGGUGGGGGAAAGGCUCACCUAGGCGACGAUCCCUAGCUGGUCUGAGAGGAUGAACAGCCACACUGGAACGGAGACACGGUCCAGACUCCUACGAGAGGCAGCAGUGGGGAAUAUUGCACAAUGGGCGCAAGCCUGAUGCAGCCAUGCCGCGUGGAUGAAGAAGGCCGUCGGGUUGUAAAGUACUUUCAGCGGGGAGGCGUUACCUGCAGAAGAAGCACCGGCUAACUCCGUGCCAGCAGCCGCGGUAAUUC
rnacentral:rRNA from 1 species